rnacentral:rRNA from 1 species
CCGCGGUAUUUUGACCGUGCGAAGGUAGCGCAAUCACUUGUCUUUUAAAUGGAGACCUGUAGGGCUUAACUGUCUCCCCUCCCCAGUCAAUGAAAUUGAUCUCCCCGUGCAGAAGCGGGGAUAGUACCAUAAGACGAGAAGACCCUAUGGAGCUUUAGACGUCAGAGCAGCCCAUGUAAAGCACCCCUUAACAAAGGAAAAAACCAAAUGAAGCCUGCCCUAAUGUCUUUGGUUGGGGCGACCGCGGGGAAAUACAAAACCCCCGUGUGGAGUAGGAAUACAUAUUCCUAAACCCAAGAGCUCCCGCUCUAAUGAACAGAAAUUCUGACCAAUAAGAUCCGGCACACGCCGAUCAACGGACCGAGUUACCCUAGGGAUAACAGCGCAAUCCCCUUAAAGAGCCCUUAUCGACAAGGGGGUCUACGACCUCGAUGUUGGAUCAGGACAUCCUAAUGGUG